GGGGAUUUAGCUCAGCGGCAUAAGCACCUGCCUUACAAGCAGGCGGUCGUGAGUUCGAUUCCCGCUACCA
rnacentral:tRNA from 1 species